rnacentral:rRNA from 1 species
GUGGGGAAUCUUCCGCAAUGGACGAAAGUCUGACGGAGCAACGCCGCGUGAGUGAUGAAGGUCUUCGGAUUGUAAAGCUCUGUUAAUCGGGACGAAAGAGCCUAGUGUGAAUAAUGCUAGGAAGUGACGGUACCGGAAUAGAAAGCCACGGCUAACUACGUGCCAGCAGCCGCGGUAAUACGUAGGUGGCAAGCGUUGUCCGGAAUUAUUGGGCGUAAAGCGCGCGCAGGCGGAUCUGCCAGUCUGUCUUAAAAGUUCGGGGCUUAACCCCGUGAUGGGAUGGAAACUACAGAUCUAGAGUAUCGGAGAGGAAAGUGGAAUUCCUAGUGUAGCGGUGAAAUGCGUAGAUAUUAGGAAGAACACCAGUGGCGAAGGCGACUUUCUGGACGAAAACUGACGCUGAGGCGCGAAAGCUAGGGGAGCGAACGGGAUUAGAAACCCCUGUAGUCC